AGGGAAUCUUCCGCAAUGGGCGAAAGCCUGACGGAGCAACGCCGCGUGAGUGAUGAAGGUCUUCGGAUCGUAAAACUCUGUUAUUAGGGAAGAACAAACGUGUAAGUAACUGUGCACGUCUUGACGGUACCUAAUCAGAAAGCCACGGCUAACUACGUGCCAGCAGCCGCGGUAAUACGUAGGUGGCAAGCGUUGUCCGGAAUUAUUGGGCGUAAAGCGCGCGCAGGCGGAUCAGUCAGUCUGUCUUAAAAGUUCGGGGCUUAACCCCGUGAUGGGAUGGAAACUGCUGAUCUAGAGUAUCGGAGAGGAAAGUGGAAUUCCUAGUGUAGCAGUGAAAUGCGUAGAUAUUAGGAAGAACACCAGUGGCGAAGGCGACUUUCUGGACGAAAACUGACGCUGAGGCGCGAAGGCCAGGGGAGCGAACGGGAUUAGAUACCCCGGUAGUCCUGGCCGUAAACGAUGGGUACUAGGUGUAGGAGGUAUCGACCCCUUCUGUGCCGGAGUUAACGCAAUAAGUACCCCGCCUGGGGAGUACGACCGCAAGGUUG
rnacentral:rRNA from 1 species